CCUCCGAAGACUCCCUUCUUUUUCUUUCUUUUUCCUUAAAAUAAGAAAAGCCUGUGAAUGUGUGCAUGGCCAGUCUGAGCACAGGAUGUACAAAGGAGGUAAGAAAGGGAAAGAGCUGCCAGCGCCCGCAGCACCAGUGCGGGGAAGUGGGCCAGCCGUCCGCACCGGGGCACUUUGUGAGACGCCGCAAAGCCCCCCACCCCCUUACCAUGCAGCCUCUCUUGUCUCUCCUGUGCCUGUGUCCGGCGGCUCUGCUCUCCUCUCUGCUCAGACCCAACCCCCCACCGAGGCCCAUAAGCCCCCCGGCUUUGCGAUGCUCUGCGGAUCGCCGAGUCCACGAGAGCCUCGCAUCAUCAUGGGGAACAGAGAGCAGCACGCAAAGCGUACCCUGUUUUACACGAGAAAAGCACCCGGAUCCUCACACUGCUCUCUUUCGACGCCUUUCGCGCCGAGACGAGUUUUUCCGACGUUCUGAGGAGCUCGAAGCGGCCCCUGCUGUCGGCCAUCCUCGGCGGGACUCGACCCAACAACCUGCGGCGGAGACGCGCCUCAGCUCCACGACGAGUCCGACUCAGAGCUGCGUGGGAACGGCGGGCGACUGAGACUCCGACCCCUAUGGGUAGGUAACCCCCCCCCCCUGCCAAAGUGUCCCAUGAACGCUGCUGGUGGUCCUUCAGUUUACAUGAGCGAUACGAAUGAAAUCGUGGUAAAUCAGGGUUCAUAUAUGUGCGGGCUUUAAAAAGCGUCAUUUGCAAAUUUUGAUUUAUGCAAAAACGACAUCAGUUUAAUUAUUAUAGUUACACUUAUGAAACGUUAAUGCUGUACUGUGCUGUACCGUAUUUCGCUGAAGACGCAGCACCAGCAGCAGAAAAAAAGCAGCUCGAGAUCGGAACGUUUAGCAAAAUCGUGCAAAAUUUCUCAUCUCACUUUUCCUCACAUCAUGUUUCUAAAGUGACGGUUUAUUAUUAUUAUUUCAGUAGAAUAUAUUACUUGCGCGCUCCGAUGAUGAAGCAUUUUCCCUCGAAAGGAUUUACGUUUAUUGGUCAGUUUUGACGCACAAUUAAAGUUAAUAAAUGAAUUAUUACCUGUGUUUCCUUUCUUUUC
rnacentral:lncRNA from 1 species